GAUGAACGCUGGCGGCGUGCUUAACACAUGCAAGUCGAACGAUUGAAGCUGGAGCUUGCUCCGGCCGAUUUAGUGGCGGACGGGUGAGUAACGCGUGGGUAACCUGCCUCAUACAGGGGGAUAGCAGUUGGAAACGACUGGUAAAACCGCAUAAGCGCACGGUAUCGCAUGAUACAGUGUGAAAACACUCCGGUGGUAUGAGAUGGACCCGCGUCUGAUUAGCUAGUUGGUGAGGUAACGGCCCACCAAGGCGACGAUCAGUAGCCGGCCUGAGAGGGUGAACGGCCACAUUGGGACUGAGACACGGCCCAAACUCCUACGGGAGGCAGCAGUGGGGAAUAUUGCACAAUGGGGGAAACCCUGAUGCAGCGACGCCGCGUGAGUGAUGAAGUAUUUCGGUAUGUAAAGCUCUAUCAGCAGGGAAG
rnacentral:rRNA from 1 species